rfam:Schistosoma curassoni strain Dakar, Senegal genome assembly, scaffold: SCTD_scaffold0004322
AUCCAGUUGAUGAAUCCCAAAUAGGACGAAACCUGCGUCCUAGAU